rnacentral:lncRNA from 1 species
GCAAAAAUACUAACGAAAUAAUUUCAAAAAACUGAAAGGGACUGAGACCUUAAACAUGUAUUUCCCAUAAAACUUCAUGAAAACCAAUAUAUGAAAAAUCCUACAAAAUAGUAGGGGAAAUCAUAAGAACAAGGUACAAGAAAACCCAGUUGAAGAAAACACAUAAGAAUCACAGUAGAGCAUGUAAAACCUGAGAAACCCUAAGUCGGAGAAGAUAAAAUGUUUGAAAGAAAACUUUUGAAAGAAGCUUUGGGAAAUCGUUUGUAACCUUAAAAUAAACAUAGAUCUAGAACAAAUCUAGAGUAAUCAGGAGAACCUCGAAAGGCUAGGGGUUCCCUAGAACCCUAGAAGCGAGAAAGCAUGGAAAAGUCACGAUCUAAGCCAGAGAAUAUCAGAAUCAGGCUCGAAAGACCAAAAGCCACCAGAGCAGGGCCGGAGAUGGCCGGGAUAUUCGAAUAAGUGAAGGUAUGAGUGAAUACCCUCGAGUUCUAGCCUCGAUCAUUCAAACAAAGGCCAUGCAGGAGCCAUAGGAGGCAGGUACAUGUCUUCAAUGGCUUUGGAAGCCAUGGAUUCAGGCAUUUUUGGGGGGUAACUGAAGGGAGGUGGCUAGGGAUACAUUUAGGUCUUAGAGAGAAUCAGAGAGGAGAGGGGGUUCAAG